CGGCGGCGGCGGCGGCAGCAGCAGCAGCAGCAGCAGCAGCAGCAGCAACUGGAUUUGCUUUUUCACCAGAGGAUCCAGAUUUCCCUGUGGCCUUGCAAACAAAAAAGAAGGAAGACGGAGCAGCACAGUCAUCCCUUUGUGAAAAAAGCAUUCAGGCCUUGCUCCUCCCUGCUGAUGAACGCCCACUCUGCUCCCAGAUGCACACCUGUCCUGAAGACACCCGGUUCUCAUGCUCUUCUCUGCAGCACCUGAAUUGGGCAUUCCUGGAGACGGGGUUUCACCGUGUUAGCCAGGAUGGUCUCGAUCUCCUGACCUCGCGAUCCGCCCGCCUCGGCCUCCCAAAGUGCUGGGAUUACAGGCGUGAGCCACCGCGCCCGGCCUCAGCUGGUUUUUCAAAAGUCAUGGCGUGUAAUUGUCAGAACAGUGAACUUCGGAGAUCCACCGGAGGGGCGAGGCCACAGCUCGACCGCGAGCACCUGAGCAU
rnacentral:lncRNA from 10 species